CCAAAACCAACUCGCAAACACAAUUAGCGAGCAGGAACUCCACGCUCGCUUUCACGGUGAAGGGCGCGGCGGCAGCCCAGGAGGGCUGCUCCAUCCAGCUGGCACACCCGGCUACCAGCAAAACCGUUCUACUUGACUCGUUUCUAAUACUUAUAGGAAAAUAACGGAGUGAAGUCACUAUGAGACGCUUCUGCUUCUGACUAUUCCAAUCACAAGGAAAUUGAAGGAGAUGGCAACGAAAACAAGAGAACACCAUUCACUGCAUGUUUUUACUGCUCAGAAAACCUCCUAGAUUGCAGCUGAAGAGCAAGAUCAGAUACUUGCUUUUAUGAACAGGCCAGGCAGAAGUCAGAACAAGCAUGGGCUGCCGGUAGUGAAAACAGCAAGGCUAUCCUGUGAAACAGAUCAAGAAACCCACAUGCGGGAAGGAAGCAGAAAUUCCCUCAUUGUACUCUUCCAAAAGCAACUGCGGAGAGAAAUGCCUGUCUUGCUGCAAGUGACAGGAAGGCAAACAAGCUCCCUGCCACACGGGACGGAGGACUCCACGUCAGGAAAUGCAACCUGUUAACAUCUGUCUGAAUGUCCCAUGGCUGCAUCUGCUGGAAGAGGCCACCACGUCCCUGGCUGUUUUGUCCCCCACCCUUCUCCAGCCACGACUUAAAUAAACACCGCUAGGAAAGGUUUCCUUUACGGAACACACGCUCUAAUUCGGUGCUCAGAUACACGCGUAUCCUGUUUG